rnacentral:rRNA from 1 species
GCUUAACACAUAGCAAGUCGAGGGGCAUCAAGAAGAAAGCUUAGCUUUCUUUGCUGGCGACCGGCGCACGGGAGAGUAACACGUAUCCAACCAGCCCUUUACUCGGGGAUAGCCUUUCGAAAGAAAGAUUAAUACCCGAUAGCAUAAAGAUUCCGCAAGGUUUCAUUAUUAAAGGAUUCCGGUAAAGGAUGGGGAUGCGUUCCAUUAGGUUGUUGGUGAGGUAACGGCCCACCAAGCCUUCAAUGGAUAGGGGUUCUGAGAGGAAGGUCCCCCACAUUGGAACUGAGACACGGUCCAAACUCCUACGGGAGGCAGCAGUGAGGAAUAUUGGUCAAUGGGCGCUAGCCUGAACCAGCCAAGUAGCGUGAAGGAUGAAGGCUCUAUGGGUCGUAAACUUCUUUUAUAUAAGAAUAAAGUGCAGUAUGUAUACUGUUUUGUAUGUAUUAUAUGAAUAAGGAUCGGCUAACUCCGUGCCAGCAGCCGCGGUAAUACGGAGGAUCCGAGCGUUAUCCGGAUUUAUUGGGUUUAAAGGGAGCGUAGGUGGACUGGCAAGUCAGUUGUGAAAGUUUGCGGCUCAACCGUAAAAUUGCAGUUGAUACUGUCAGUCUUGAGUACAGUAGAGGAGGGCGGAAUUCAUGGUGUAGCGGUGAAAUGCUUAGAUAUCACGAAGAACUCCGAUUGCGAAGGCAGCUCACUGGACUGCAACUGACACUGAUGCUCGAAAGUGUGGGUAUCAAACAGGAUUAGAUACCCUGGUAGUCCACACAGUAAACGAUGAAUACUCGCUGUUUGCGAUAUACAGUAAGCGGCCAAGCGAAAGCAUUAAGUAUUCCACCCGGGGAGUACGCCGGCAACGGUGAAACUCAAAGGAAUUGACGGGGGCCCGCACAAGCGGAGGAACAUGUGGUUUAAUUCGAUGAUACGCGAGGAACCUUACCCGGGCUUAAAUUGCAGUGGAAUGAUGUGGAAACAUGUCAGUGAGCAAUCACCGCUGUGAAGGUGCUGCAUGGUUGUCGUCAGCUCGUGCCGUGAGGUGUCGGCUUAAGUGCCAUAACGAGCGCAACCCUUAUCUUUAGUUACUAACAGGUUAUGCUGAGGACUCUAGAGAGACUGCCGUCGUAAGAUGUGAGGAAGGUGGGGAUGACGUCAAAUCAGCACGGCCCUUACGUCCGGGGCUACACACGUGUUACAAUGGGGGGUACAGAAGGCAGCUAGCGGGUGACCGUAUGCUAAUCCCAAAAUCCUCUCUCAGUUCGGAUCGAAGUCUGCAACCCGACUUCGUGAAGCUGGAUUCGCUAGUAAUCGCGCAUCAGCCACGGCGCGGUGAAUACGUUCCCGGGCCUUGUACACACCGCCCGUCAAGCCAUGGGAGCCGGGGGUACCUGAAGUACGUAACCGCAAGGAUCGUCCUAGGGUAAAACUGGUGAC